GCCUGGCUGGCUCAGUCAGCAGAGCGUGAGACUGUUCAUCUUGAGGUUGUGGGUUCGAGUCCCAUAUUGGGUG
rnacentral:tRNA from 1 species